GUGGGGAAUCUUCCGCAAUGGACGAAAGUCUGACGGAGCAACGCCGCGUGAGUGAAGAAGGUUUUCGGAUCGUAAAGCUCUUUCGUUAGGGACGAACGUGCUCUUUGUGAAUAAUGAGGAGUAAUGACGGUACCUAAAUAAGAAGCCACGGCUAACUACGUGCCAGCAGCCGCGGUAAUACGUAGGUGGCAAGCGUUGUCCGGAAUUAUUGGGCGUAAAGCGCGCGCAGGCGGGAUAUCAAGUCUGUCUUAAAAGUGCGAGGCUCAACCUCGUGAGGGGACAGAAACUGGUAUUCUUGAGUGUCGGAGAGGAAAGUGGAAUUCCAAGUGUAGCGGUGAAAUGCGUAGAGAUUUGGAAGAACACCAGUAGCGAAGGCGACUUUCUGGACGAUGUCUGACGCUGAGGCGCGAAAGCUAGGGGAGCGAACGGGAUUAGAUACCCGUGUAGUCC
rnacentral:rRNA from 1 species